UACGAAGGACCCAAGCGUUAUCCGGAUUUAUUGGGUUUAAAGGGUGCGUAGGCGGCUUUGUAAGUCAGUGGUGAAAUAUGGCAGCUCAACUGUCAGGGUGCCAUUGAUACUGUGGAGCUUGAGUACAGAUGAGGUAGGCGGAAUUGACGGUGUAGCGGUGAAAUGCUUAGAUAUCGUCAAGAACACCGAUAGCGAAGGCAGCUUACUAGGCUGUAACUGACGCUGAGGCACGAAAGUGUGGGGAUCAAACAGG
rnacentral:rRNA from 1 species